rnacentral:rRNA from 1 species
GAUGAACGCUGGCGGCGUGCCUAAUACAUGCGAGUCGAGCGAACGGACGAGAAGCUUGCUUCUCUGAUGUUAGCGGCGGACGGGUGAGUAACACGUGGAUAACCUACCUAUAAGACUGGGAUAACUUCGGGAAACCGGAGCUAAUACCGGAUAAUAUUUUGAACCGCAUGGUUCAAAAGUGAAAGACGGUCUUGCUGUCACUUAUAGAUGGAUCCGCGCUGCAUAGCUAGUUGGUAAGGUAACGGCUUACCAAGGCAACGAUGCAUAGCCGACCUGAGAGGGUGAUCGGCCACACUGGAACUGAGACACGGUCCAGACUCCUACGGGAGGCAGCAGUAGGGAAUCUUCCGCAAUGGGCGAAAGCCUGACGGAGCAACGCCGCGUGAGUGAUGAAGGUCUUCGGAUCGUAAAACUCUGUUAUUAGGGAAGAACAUAUGUGUAAGUAACUGUGCACAUCUUGACGGUACCUAAUCAGAAAGCCACGGCUAACUACGUG